AUGGGUGUUUUGAUCACGCUGUGUUUCACCAUGAAUGUUGCUGUAUCACCGAUGGCCAGUGAGGCUUCUUCCCCUAUGAUAACCUCUGUGACUCCCACCCUAGAACCCGGCCCCAAUAAACAUGAUGAUCCGUACCAAAAACCCCCUCCUCUCCACACAGGGGCCGAUUGGAAGGUGGUUCUGCAUCUGCCGGAGAUCGAGACCUGGCUGAGGACCACGACAGAGAGAGUCAGAGACCUCACACACUCUGUGCAGCAAGACAGCAUCAAUAGACAUGUGGAUGUGCACCUGGUACAACUCAAGGACAUCUGUGAAGACAUAUCCGAUCAUGUCGAGCAGAUCCACGCACUGUUGGAGACAGAGUUCUCCCUGAAGCUCCUGUCCUACUCCGUGAACAUCAUAGUGGACAUCCGGAGCGUGCAGCUCCUCUGGCACCAGUUGCGAGUGUCCGUGUUGGUUCUGAAAGAGAGGCUUCUCCAGGGCCUCCAGGACUCCAACGGCAACUACACCCGCCAGACUGACAUACUGCAAGCCUUCAGCCAGGAUCACGAUGAGGCUCGGCUGGACGCUUUGACAGAAGUGGACGACUCUGGUCAACUGACCAUUAAAUGCAGUAAGGACUACUUCUCCUUGGACUGCGGCAUCACUGCUUAUGAACUGAGCGACUACAGCCCUAUUGACGACCCCGAAGGUCGAGGGCCACGCUCCCUUUAUCCCGAGUUGGAGCAAGACUUUCCAGAACUGCUUCAGAGUGUGGAUCUCCUCAACAUUGCAGCCUCUAGACAAAACCAGGUGUCAUCUCCACCUGCAGAAGAGUCUGUUACCCCCACCCAGGAACCUCAAGAGACAAUCAGUGGUCCCACUAAAGAAGAAAGUGCACCUGAUUCAGCAAUGCAGGGAGACAGUGGCUUUGGCCUUUCCAAACGCCCUCUUCAAGGUGGCUUUAAGAGUGAUGUCUCUCCCACACAGCCUCUGCCUAAAAAGCCCAUGUAUCUGAGGGGUGAUGGGGACACAAGGUGCACUAGGUCUUCGCCUCUCCAGUACCAAGCUGACUUGAGCAGAAGCACACCCUCCCUUCUGGAUACACCAGAUCGCUCCAAGUUCUGGCUGGAGCUGGAAUCAGUUUAUCCAGGCAAUGGGAGUCAGUCCUACGAGAGUCUCCAUGCCGUGAAUGGAGGGAUCUUGCAGAUGAGUCUCAAGAGACCUUCUGUGUCCACUGAAGUUCCUCUGGAGAGACACUCAGCAGAGGCUGUGCAGGGAUUCCACACGCAGAAGCACUUGACAAACUUCAAGACUAUGCACUCCAAAGCCAAGCAGGCUUACAGUGACUCUUCCAACCAGCGGGAAAUGUCAUCCAGCCCAGACGAUCAAGCUCCCACCACAGGUUCUCUCUGGAUCGUGAACCAGAAUGGUUUGUGCGUCUCCAACGCAUCGGGGAGCUCCAAAGAACACUGGUAUGGUUCGGAUGAGUUCCUCGCUCUUCCCGCCCAGCUGAAAAAGACAGAGAUGUUGGCAUUGAAGCUGGAAAGCCUUGCUCAGGUUUUACCACAAAGGGGCCUGGAGGAGUCCAUUCAGGAUGUGGAUGACUGGGAGCUCACUGAGGCCAACCCUGAUUGGGAGAGCAGCAGUGAUCUCCUUUUGCUUCACCCCUAUAAGAAGCCCUCCCGAGCCGGCCGCUUUUCACCUACCUCCUCGAGUGACGUGGCACCUUCCCUGGAUGACAGCAUCGAGUCUGGCCCACUCAGCGACCUGUUGUCUGAGGAUGAUGGGGCGCGAAGCACACCAGAAUCCAGGGGUAGAAAUAUAUCGGCUGGCCAGCCCAAUGCACCAAAGAUGAUGUUUCAGUGCACACCCUUGAUACAGCAACUGCUAGCAGAUAUUCACCACCAAGAGAACUACCAUGAUGUCUGGGCGAAGAUAGAGGGUUUUGUCAGCAAACUGGAUGAGUUCAUCUGUUGGCUGAGAGAUGCUCUAGAAACCACAGACAACUGGACGCCACCCAGAGCUGAUAUCGACAGCCUCAAACUCUACCUGGAAACUCACCUUAGUUUCAAACUCAACGUGGACAGUCACAGUGCCCUUAAAGACAGUCUCCUGGAAGAAGGACGGCAGCUCCUGGAGCUCAUCACCUCCCACAAAUCAGGACUGCGGGACAUGCUCCACAUGAUAUCUCACCAGUGGCAGGAGCUGCAGAGACAGAUCCGCCGUCAGCACAACUGGAUGCUGCGCACGCUGGACGCCAUCAAAACCCACAUCCUGUCCAGCGAGAGGGACGAGGAGGAGCGGGAAUCUCACAGUCAUCACGGCAGCCCCAAGGUGGAGGUCCAACAGAGCCAUCGAGAGGCCCAGAAAGAUGUUCUGGAUCAGAUGAGAGUGAAACUUAAAAGUCAACAGUUCUGCUCCAACAGCAGAAGCGUCGACUUCACCCUGAUGUCCAAGUCUAACAGCCUGUCAGAGUUUGAGGCAGAGUAUCAGGAGCUCUGGGAUUGGCUGAUGGACAUGGAAUCCAUAGUGACGGACAGCCAUGAUCUGAUGAUGUCAGAGGAACAGAGGCAUCACCUGUAUAAGGGGAACAGUGUUGAGAUGUCCAUGUGGCUUCCUAAGAAGACGCAGCUUCUGGGUUGGUCUGAAUCUCUGAAGAGGAGCGGCACUGAACUUCCUGCUGACUUUGACCAGCGGCUGACGGCCCUCAGGAGCAAAUGGGAUCAACUCGAGAAAAUCCUGGCGGAGCAUGUGGAGCCCAGUGUGGGCCAGCGGAGUCAGCGUGAACUUCUGUCUCCAGACACCAAUAGGAUGGUGACCCAGCUGGAGAGCCGGAUAAAGGAGUUAAAGAGCUGGCUCAGAGACACUGAGCUCUUCAUCUUCAAUCUGAAUCUCAGACCAGACAGGACUGACCUGCUCCUGUCUCUGCAGGCUCUGUGUAUGGAGGUGCGGGGCAGACGGAAGGGCAUUUCCUCCGUGCUGAGGCUCUGUCAGAGGCUGCUGGAUGGGCCUGAACAUCAGAGCUCAGAGGCAGAGCGCCAGUCACUGCAGCUGCUGCAGGUCAACCUGGAGAGACGAUGGGAGGCCAUCGUCAUGCAGGUCCUUCAGUGGCAGACCAGACUGAAACGCUCGCUGGGCAGAGACCAGGUCACAUAUGGAAAGUGGCCACAUAUUAUUCUUGAAUACACAUGGUAA
ensembl:lncRNA